rnacentral:rRNA from 1 species
CUGGGGUUGUAGCUGGCCUAUAAAACGGCAUGUGCACGCUCCUUUCACAAUCCACACACACCUGUGCACCUUCGCGGGGGUCUUUUUUUCUCUUCGGGGGAAUAAAGGCUCGCGUCCCUUUACACACCCUUUGUAUGUCUUAAGAAUGUCUACUCGAUGUAAUAAAACGCAUCUAAUACAACUUUCAACAACGGAUCUCUUGGCUCUCGCAUCGAUGAAGAACGCAGCGAAAUGCGAUAAGUAAUGUGAAUUGCAGAAUUCAGUGAAUCAUCGAAUCUUUGAACGCACCUUGCGCCCUUUGGUAUUCCGAAGGGCACACCUGUUUGAGUGUCGUGAAAUUCUCAACCCUCCUCGCUUUUUCGGCGAGCGUAGGGAUUGGACUUGGAGGCUUUGCCGGGCUCUCAUCGCUCGGCUCCUCUCAAAUGCAUUAGUGCGUCUUGUUGCGACGUGCGCCUCGGUGUGAUAAUUAUCUACGCUGUGGUGUGCUUGCUUCUUGUGGAGACACGCUUUCGAACCGUCCGAAAGGACAGCUUUCAUCGAACUUUGACCUCAAAUCAGGUGGGACUACCCGCUGAACUUAAGCAUAUCAAUAAGCGGAGGAAAAGAAACUAACAAGGAUUCCCCUAGUAACUGCGAGUGAAGCGGGAAAAGCUCAAAUUUAAAAUCUGGCGGUCUUCUGGUCGUCCGAGUUGUAGUCUGGAGAAGCGUUUUCCGCGUUGGACCGUGUACAAGUUUCCUGGAACGGAGCGUCAUAGAGGGUGAGAAUCCCGUCUUUGACACGGACCCCAAUGCUUUGUGAUGCGCUCUCAAAGAGUCGAGUUGUUUGGGAAUGCAGCUCAAAA